ACACGUAUUUUAUCAUUCUCCAUAUGUGCAAUUAAGAUCGAUUCCAUCUCCUUGCUCUUGUUCUCUAAACCCAUCUUCUUCAAUUCUUCUUUGUUAUUAGCGACGUCGACUGCAAUGAUUUUUUGAUUUCAUAGAGCUAAAUCUACAACAACAAAGCAAUGGAUAUUGAUGAAUUAAAGAAACUCAUUGCAGCUGCUAUUGCUAAUAACAAAGAAGAAGUGAAGAGGAUGGGUUUGGAAAACAAACUCCAAGAGUUGGAGUCUAUCCUAAUUACACAGAUGGAGAAUGAUAAAAUAUUCCCGGACAAAAAGGAUUUGGUGGAUUAUCAUAAUUUUUUGAAUUUGGUAAGCAAUGAAGUUGAAAAGGAGAUUGAACGUGAAAAAGCUGCUCAAAGCUCAACAUCAAGAGCUGCAGAGUAGAUAUUACUGAUUGGUUAAAGCUUUCAUUUCUUUAAGUUGAAAUAUCUAUUUAAUAUUUUGUAUUGUCGUAAAGAUAAAUAAUAAAUCUUCCUUUAUUUCAAGUGAAAAUGUCCGUUAUUGCUAUUCCGGAACAAUUGUACUUAGAGAUUUUCUAGUAAACUCAGUAGAGCUUAUGACUUGCACUACCGAUUUUGGGAUUGUUGGCUUGUAUAAAAAUUUAUGUUUCAUAAUUAAUAGUCGUUGGUUGAA